GACGUAGGAGGCGAGCGUUGUCCGGAUUCAUUGGGCGUAAAGAGCGCGCAGGCGGCUUGGUAAGUCGGAUGUGAAAUCCCGAGGCUCAACCUCGGGUCUGCAUCCGAUACUGCCCGGCUAGAGGUAGGUAGGGGAGAUCGGAAUUCCUGGUGUAGCGGUGAAAUGCGCAGAUAUCAGGAGGAACACCGAUGGCGAAGGCAGGUCUCUGGGCCACUACUGACGCUGAGAAGCGAAAGCAUGGGGAGCGAACAGG
rnacentral:rRNA from 1 species